AUUGAACGCUGGCGGCAGGCCUAACACAUGCAAGUCGACCGCGUGUCGGACGGGUGAGUAAUGUCUGGGAAACUGCCCGAUGUAGGGGGAUAACUACUGGAAACGGUAGCGAAGAUCGCACACCAUCGGAUGGGCCCAGAUGGGAUGAGCUAGUAGGUGGGGUAACGGCUCACCUGGGCGACGAUCCCUAGCUGGUCUGUGAGGAUGACCAGCCACACUGGAACUGAGACACGGUCCAGACUCCGACGGGAGGCAGCAGUGGGGAAUAUUGCACAAUGGGCGCAAGCCUGAUGCAGCCAUGCCGCGUGUAUGAAGAAGGCCUUCGGGUUGUAAAGUACUUUCAGCGAGGAGGCGUUACUCGCAGAAGAAGCACCGGCUAACUCCGUGCCAGCAGCCGCGGUAAUAC
rnacentral:rRNA from 1 species